rnacentral:rRNA from 1 species
UACGUAGGGUGCAAGCGUUGUCCGGAAUUAUUGGGCGUAAAGAGCUCGUAGGCGGUCUGUUGCGUCGGCUGUGAAAACCCGGGGCUCAACUCCGGGCCUGCAGCCGAUACGGGCAGACUAGAGUUCGGCAGGGGAGACUGGAAUUCCUGGUGUAGCGGUGAAAUGCGCAGAUAUCGAGAGGAACACCUGCGGCGAAGGCGGGUUGCUGGGCUGACACUGACGCUGAUGCGCGAAAGCCAGGGGAGCGAACGGG